UAUGUACUCCCUCCGUUCGGAAUUACUUGUCAUAGAAAUGGAUGUAUCUAGACAUUUUUUAGUUCUAGAUACAUCCAUUUCUGCGACAAGUAAUUCGGAACGGAGGGAGUAUAUU
rnacentral:pre_miRNA from 1 species